CCAUGGGGCAGCUAUAAUGCAGUCGAGCGCAGGAGCCGUCUGAACCCUUCGGGGGGACGACGGUGGAAUGAGCGGCGGACGGGUGAGUAACACGUAAAGAACCUGCCCAUAGGUCUGGGAUAACCACGAGAAAUCGGGGCUAAUACCGGAUGUGUCAUCGGACCGCAUGGUCCGCUGAUGAAAGGCGCUCCGGCGUCGCCCAUGGAUGGCUUUGCGGUGCAUUAGCUAGUUGGUGGGGUAACGGCCCACCAAGGCGACGAUGCAUAGCCGACCUGAGAGGGUGAUCGGCCACACUGGGACUGAGACACGGCCCAGACUCCUACGGGAGGCAGCAGUAGGGAAUCUUCCACAAUGGACGAAAGUCUGAUGGAGCAACGCCGCGUGAACGAUGAAGGCUUUCGGGUCGUAAAGUUCUGUUGUAAGGGAAGAACAAGUGCCGCAGGCAAUGGCGGCACCUUGACGGUACCUUGCGAGAAAGCCACGGCUAACUACGUGCCAGCAGCCGCGGUAAUACGUAGGUGGCAAGCGUUGUCCGGAAUUAUUGGGCGUAAAGCGCGCGCAGGCGGCCUCUUAAGUCUGAUGUGAAAGCCCCCGGCUCAACCGGGGAGGGCCAUUGGAAACUGGGAGGCUUGAGUAUAGGAGAGAAGAGUGGAAUUCCACGUGUAGCGGUGAAAUGCGUAGAGAUGUGGAGGAACACCAGUGGCGAAGGCGACUCUUUGGCCUAUAACUGACGCUGAGGCGCGAAAGCGUGGGGAGCAAACAGGAUAGCCCCC
rnacentral:rRNA from 1 species